GCGGGAUCUUAGUUCCCCAACCAGGGAUCGAACCCAUACCCCGUGCAGUGGAAACAUGGGGUCUUAACCACUGGACCACCAGGGAAGUCCUCGACCAUGGGAUUUUUGCAGGCAUCCGUCCAAGAGAGGAUGAUGUCUUUUUCUAAGAUUCAUGUCAAGAUGUCGUGGUGAGCUUAUAAAUGAUAGUGAACAUGGAAUAUCAAGGGAAAAAUUAUGUUUAACUCUGUGAUCGCUGAGGUAUUGUACGUAUCCAGGUUCCAGUCAAGAGAUCAUAGUGAACCUCAUCAUCAUCAUCAAGAGACUUUGCAUGAAUCCCAGUGUGCAGUGAAGAGUUGAUGGCGUCUCUAACAGUGGUGUAGAACUUGGACUACUGCAAGUAUCAGGGUCCAAUCAAGAGACCAUGGUGACUUCAUAAGUGAUUGUUAACAGAGACUUUGCUUAUAUCCAGGUAACUGAUGAUGUGUCUUUAAGCCCCCUUCAAAUAUCUGAUCUUCAGAUUUCUUGGUAAGUGAGGAUGGUGUGUCUAACAUUUGUGCACCAUGUUUUUUUUUUUUAAAGAUAUUCAGGUAAGAAGUGACACUGUCUCAACCAAAUCUAUUAAGCAUUAGACCUUACAGGAUGAGAAUUUAAAUAUAAUGUAUGUUGAACCUAGGUAGUGCUAGAGGUAUAUGCAGGUAAGGGACCCUACAGGUCCAUACCACAGUACUGAUCGGGAGAUUUUUACAUGUGCCCUGCAGAGAGGUGGUGGUGUCUCUAAGAACAUUAUUGGCCUUGAAGUACUGCCAGGUUGAUGGUUCCCUCAUUGAUGAAAGUGACCAAGAUUAUUUGCAGGUGUCAUUGUAGAGCAAGUUGUUUUCUUAAAUGUAUUUGUCAUGUAUAUUUUUUUGAGAUUCCAGUCAAGGAAUCAUGGUGAAUCUAACAGUGGUCAUUACCAGGACAUUGCUAGUAACCAGGUGAGUGAUAAAGUGGGUCUUACUACAAUGCAGACUGUCUGAUCUUCAGUAUCUAGUAAGUGAGG